rnacentral:rRNA from 1 species
GACGAACGCUGGCGGCGUGCUUAACACAUGCAAGUCGAACGGAAAGGCCCUGCUUUUGUGGGGUGCUCGAGUGGCGAACGGGUGAGUAACACGUGAGUAACCUGCCCUUGACUUUGGGAUAACUUCAGGAAACUGGGGCUAAUACCGGAUAGGAGCUCCUGCUGCAUGGUGGGGGUUGGAAAGUUUCGGCGGUUGGGGAUGGACUCGCGGCUUAUCAGCUUGUUGGUGGGGUAGUGGCUUACCAAGGCUUUGACGGGUAGCCGGCCUGAGAGGGUGACCGGCCAAAUGGGGACGGGGAUACGGCCCAGGCCCCCACGGGGGGCAGCGGGGGGGAAUAUUGCACAAGGGGCGGAAGCCGGCUGCAGCAACGCCGGGUGCGGGAUGACGGCCUUCGGGUUGUAAACCGCUUUCGCCUGUGACGAAGGGUGGGUGCCGGUAAUGGGUAAAGAAGCACCGGCUAACCACGU